UACGGAGGAUCCAAGCGUUAUCCGGAAUCAUUGGGUUUAAAGGGUCCGUAGGCGGUCUAGUAAGACAGUGGUGAAAGCCCAUCGCUCAACGGUGGAACGGCCAUUGAUACUGCUGGACUUGAAUUAUUGGGAAGCAACUAGAAUAUGUAGUGUAGCGGUGAAAUGCUUAGAGAUUACAUGGAAUACCAAUUGCGAAGGCAGGUUGCUACCAAUUGAUUGACGCUGAUGGACGAAAGCGUGGGUAGCGAACAGG
rnacentral:rRNA from 1 species